UACGUAGGGUGCGAGCGUUGCUCGGAAUCACUGGGCGUAAAGCGCACGUAGGCGGCUUUCUAAGUCAGGGGUGAAAUCCCGGAGCUCAACUCCGGAACUGCCUUUGAUACUGGAAAGCUUGAGUUCGGGAGAGGUGAGUGGAACUGCGAGUGUAGAGGUGAAAUUCGUAGAAUAUUCGCAAGAACACCAGUGGCGAAAGGCGGCCUCACUGGCCCGAUACUGACCGCUGAGGUGCGAAAGCGUGGGGAGCAAAACAGG
rnacentral:rRNA from 1 species